GUGCUCACUUCAGCAACAAAUAUACUAAAAUAGUAAUGAUACAGAGAUUAGCAUGGCUCCUGCACACGGAUGACAUGCAAAUAAAAAUAAAUAAAAAUAA
rnacentral:snRNA from 1 species